rnacentral:rRNA from 1 species
UCAGACCCGUGGCAAAUAGCUCAGUAGCACGUGGCCAAUCUACCCUCCGGAUCAGCACACCCUCGGGAAACUGAGGCCAAUUCUGUAUACGGCUCCCGACCUGGAAUGGUGGGAGCCAGAAACGCUCCGGCGCCGGAGGAUGAGGCUGCGGCCGAUUAGGUUGACGGUGGGGUAAUGGCCCACCGUGCCGAUAAUCGGUCUGGGUCAUGAGAGUGAGAACCCAGAGACGGACUCUGAGACAAGAUUCCGGGCCCUACGGGGCGCAGCAGGCGCGAAACCUUUACACUGCACGCCAGUGCGAUAAGGGGACCCCAAGUGCGCAGGCAUAGUGCCUGCGCUUUUCUGGACUGUAGGGCGGUCCAGGAACAAGGGCUGGGCAAGACCGGUGCCAGCCGCCGCGGUAAUACCGGCAGCCCGAGUGAUGGCCGAUCUUAUUGGGCCUAAAGCGUCCGUAGCUGGCUGCGCAAGUCCGUCGGGAAAUCCACUCGCCCAACGAGUGGGCGUCCGACGGAAACUGCACAGCUUGGGACCGGAAGGCUCGAAGGGUACGUUCGGGGUAGGAGUGAAAUCCCAUAAUCCCGCACGGACCACCGAUGGCGAAAGCACUUCGAGAAAACGGAUCCGACAGUGAGGGACGAAAGCCAGGGUCUCCAACCGGAUUAGAUACCCGGGUAGUCCUGGCCGUAAACAAUGUUCGCUAGGUAUGACACAGACUACGCGUCUCUGUUGUGCCGUAGGGAAGCCG